rnacentral:lncRNA from 1 species
UAAUAUUACAAACUUUUCAUGUAUAUAUAUCCAAAUGAUGAUAAAAUUAUUGCUCUGAUAAUUUUAACAAUAAAUAAAUAAACAAUAGCAAUAUAGUUAAAGAGAAUUAAAAAAUAAUACAAAAUAAUAAUAAAAAAAUUAUUAUGUCUUUAGUUUUAAUUAAAUUUGUAAGGAGGAAUAAACGAGAUUCACCAAAAAUUGCUCUGCAGUUGAUCACAAUCAUCAGGUUGAACACCCCUGUUAUAUUCAAAUAUUUGGACAACAGUAACCUAAAAUCUACCAAAAACAUGCAUAUUGAUAAUAUCUCUUCAUAUAUCAAGUUUAACCAAAAUUAUUUGUUCAAAUUAAAUCUUUGAUUUAAAAUUAAUGCUUAUUUUAUCUAAAUAAUAAUUAUUCUCUGUCAGAUUAUUGUUUUUCUAAUUCAAUAUUAAAUGUGGUAGCUUUUUAUAUGAGAA